rnacentral:rRNA from 1 species
UACGUAGGGAGCGAGCGUUGUUCGGAAUUACUGGGCGUAAAGCGUGUGUAGGCGGUGUUCUCAGUCUGUUGUGAAAUCUCCCGGCUUAACUGGGAGGGUGCAGCGGAAACUAGAAUGCUAGAGGGUGGGAGAGGUAAGCGGAAUUCCUGGUGUAGCGGUGAAAUGCGUAGAUAUCAGGAGGAACACCUGUGGUGUAGACAGCUUACUGGACCACUUCUGACGCUGAGACACGAAAGCGUGGGUAGCAAACAGG